UUGGUUAAGCUGAAAUCCUAGGUUUUUGAGCUUGUUUUGUCGUACAGCACUCAGAAUCAAGUCAAAGUGAGUGACAUUUCUUUAAGAAAAUUUUAUGCAGUUCAGUUACCAGUCUUACUUCCUGAUCACACUAGGGUUAUUUCUCACAGAUCAUCUCAAAAUGUUUAUUUCCUCAGUACCACAGUGAUGGGGAAAAGCAUGUUCCAGCUUCUGUUUCUCACAGGUGAGAGGAAAGAUGUAACUAUUGUGAAUAGCCAAAUCAUGCCAUUUUGCUCAACAGCCAAAACUGUUAAGAUGGUCUGAUCAGUGUGAUGGUUUAAACUAGCGGUCUUCGAUCUUAUCCGCAAAGGGUCGGUGUGGCUACAAACCAAGCAGGUUUGUUUAAACAGUUCAUCUUAGUUUCCAAUCAGUUAUCAAGUGUGCCUCCAAUUUGGCUGUAAUGAAAGCCUGCAGCUACACGGGUGCUUUGUGGAUAAGAUUGAGGACCCCUUUUUUAAACAAGUAAGUCAUUCAACUAAUUCAAAAAAGCCAUCGAAUAAAAGAAAGACAUUCUGAUCUGUGUAUAGCUGUAAGUAAUUGACUCAGCUGACAAAAGAUUUAGCACAAGCCAUGUUUAUGAAUGAACUGAUAUAGAGCACAGUAUGAUUUAACUGGAGGAUGAAAAUUGCCUUAUAAAUCAGUUCCUUUUGCCAAAUCAUCAUCUUUUAAUGCUGUGCAACAAUUUAGAGCCAACACAUUGGUGUGAGAUUUUUGUCCUCAGUCCCUGAGACACUUCAUUUAAAAAUAAGUUUCACCUGGGUAUCUUUCCCCUCCAUUUUCAUGUCAGACCAUUUUCUUUUCAUCUCAGAUAAUAUUUUAUCCAAAUAAUAUUUUAGCCAUUUAGGUGCCGUUAUGCUGCUAAAUAUAUUUAUUGGCAUAGACAUGAGUAAAACUAACUUCCCCUUAUGCUUCUGUGAGCUUCCUUUUCUUUCACCAUUUACCCAUCAUUUCAUGCCUUUACAGCUCUCUGGGAGCUUUCCCUUUUACAGAAUUUUGUUGGGCAUCACCAAAUGCAAAUGAGCUAUGUCAGGAACAUGCUCUGCACUUUACAGGUGGUUGGAAUUUAUCAAUAUACACACGCGAGUACGAAGAAAAUCAGCAUUUCCAAACUUUUUGGUUUGGCCUGGUUUACACAAACAUUUACACACUUUUUACACAAUUUUACUAAAUUAUUGAUAAAAUGAUUGAUAAAUGGCCCAGUGCUACAAAAACAUACGGAAAACUAUUUGCAUAAUUCCAUGUCAUUGUUUCAUAUACAAUAGCAAAAUAAAAAAAAACAUCUUCCACACUGAAAAGCAAAGAUUAAAUAAGGAAGUUGGUAGAUGUCCUUUUUAGCAGACCUGGUGUUGUAAAAACCUCUUCUUCUGAUGUAUCAUCUACAGAGGUUUUCCUCCUCGUCCUGUCUGAACCUUAUAAGUACCACCUAGUCCAACAGGGGAAAAACUGGCGUGAUGCUCAGACUUACUGCCGCGCCAACCACGUUGACCUGGCUACUGUUGAAGGCGAUGACAACAUGAUCAAGCUCCAAAAUGAGGCACAGAAGCACCAAUUCACCUCAAAUGCUUGGAUUGGCCUAUUCAAUGAUGUUACUAGCUGGCGCUGGUCCCUGGGAAAUCAGCCACUAGGACCUUUUACAGCUUGGUGUUCCAGUGAGCCUAACUAUAGAAUGGAAGAUUGUACUGCUUUCAAUCAGUGGUGUUGGUUUGAUGUGGCAUGUUCAGUUUCACUUCCCUUUGUGUGCUUUGAUGGUGAGGAACAUAUUCACUUUAUCAUUUGUUUUAGAAAUGAAGGUUGUUUGGAAAAAAAAACAAAACUGUGUUUUAAAUGUGCUCACUGAACUUAAAUUAUAAAGUGCCAAAGAUGUUAAACAGCACGCCUUAAAAACAAUUUGAGCUAUACUGUAAAAGGAGACAAUAGACAAAAUACUGUUGGUUUAAUAAAAAUCCAGAUAAGAAGUGAAAAUCACCUGGAUACCUUGUGUGUGUGCAAACACAUUCUAAUACCAACUUUGUUGUCAGCCAUCUUUUUCUGGAAACUUCUCAUCGAGGUGUAGACAGUCCUCAUAGAGUAACAUCCCAUAGUAUUGUCUAUGGUCUAUAUGUAAUAGUGAUGAUGUCAUCUGCUUCAGUAAGGGAGUCCUGUGGCUUUCCUUAGCUGAUAAACAGUUGAUCUGAGAAUUGGAUGACCGCUGUCUGGUCUAAAUAGAACUGUAGAGCACAUACAGGGCACAAUCAGGAUGCAUCUAUUUUAGGUGAACUUUUAAUGCUGCUAUGGGAUUGGUUCACCUAGAAAAUCUCUCAGAUUGCUUCUGGACUUCUUGUUAUAUUUAUAUAGUUCUAUGGGCAUUUGUAACUAGUUUAGGCAAUGUUUGGUCAGAAUACUCUCCAAAUUAGUGCCUUGUCAACAUUGGUGAUGCUGCACAGGCAACACAGGGGAUGACCUAACCAAUGACUGUGUCCUUAAAAUGCAGAGGCGUUAUGCAUUAGCAGAAUUCAGCAUUAAGUGAGUAUGGGACACGCAAACCACUCAAACACACCAGCAGUACUAACCUACAGGCCCACUGGUCUGACACUGCAGAAUGUUGAACACCUGACCAGCAGAACCCGACCUGGCAGAGACAAUGAGGUGUGAAUGGAGGGAAACCGACCUGAGCAUCAGUACUGUGAGUUAGCAGAAUCCAGCUAUCUUAGCAGUCUAAGUACUGGGCAUGGCAUGGCAAAGGGAGAAGAACUACUCAACCACCUGAGUGGCAAAGUAGCUAUAGGGCUGCAAUUCAGUUAGUUACCAGGGGAUGUGACAUACUUAGGGGAGAUAAUGCUAAGGGGUGAACACGACAGAGAGCAAGUUCAAGUUCAUAGAGAUAACAAGUGAACAGCAUAGAGAGUGAUGGCUAUUAAGGCUAGCAAUACUAAUGAGAAAAAGCUAGCUUGAAGCUAUGGAGUUCUGUGGCAUUUCAUUAAAAAUGCAAUGUAUAAAACACAACAAAUCAGAAGAGAUUAGAGGAGUCUAUUGCCAGCUUUGUAGGACAGGUCACCUGUAGCUCUGAUCAUAGUCACAAGUUGCUUAAGUCAAAGGUGAAUAAACCAUCGUUUCUAGGGGAAAGUAGAUGCUUGAUAAUGAUUGCGAGCAAGCUAACAUUAGUUUAGCCUAACUAGCUAGAACAUUACCUAAAUACUUAGACUUGGCACGUGCUAAGCAUCUAGUGCUUAACAUCAGUUUGACCCCUUUGAAAGUGUCUACUUUGCCCUGGGAAUCUAGGAUGAUUCAUCUUUGAUCUAAUUUACAUAAAAUCUGUAUUUUGGAGAUUGUAAUUUUUGUAUUUAUGGUUCUGAAUUUUUAAAAUCUGAAAUCCAAAAGGAAAGGAAAAAGAUGGCUUUAUAAAGCAGUAUUUAUUGCAAAUCCUGUGUCAAAACAUCAAUUUCUAACUUUAUCAAGAAGUCUCAGCAUGUACGCACACACGCACGAGAAGAUAUCCAGGUGAUUUUCACCACCCCUGAUGGUCAAAGGAGGUUAAUUAGAAACAUCUUUAUGAACGUUGAGAAACACCAAGAGCACUGGGUCCAGCAGAUACAUUCUUAUUUCUACUUCUAUGACGUUUCAUGAUGCUCAGAGUUACUGCAGGCAGCAUCACACAGACCUGGCCAGUGUGAUAAACGAAGAGGAAAAUGUAAUUAUUAAACAAUUAGUCUCUUCUAAUUCUUGGUUUGGUCUGUUCAGAGACCUCUGGAAGUGGUCAGACCAGAGCAACUUCUCUACCGUUAGUUGGGUGUCGGGAAAACCGUGGGGUGCGGGGAUCGAUGAUAAUUGUGCUAAUUUUAUUAAAGGCCAGGUUGACGCUGCACAAUGCUCUGAGAUGAUGCCUUUCUUCUGUCUCUCAGAUUUUACAAAAGAACAAAUCAUGAGAAUGAAGGUUAAAUCGAAUCAGGAUGUGAAUGAUCCUGCAGUGAAGGCAGCAAUCUUACAGAAGAUCAAGCAAAAACUGAAGGAGCAUGGGAUAGCAGAGAACACCACAAUGAAAUGGAGAGAGCAACCAGAUGGCAUGGUCUUUCACAAGAUAAUAAUGUAAAUAAUGUUGAAGAAAAUAAGACCAGGCAAAAAUGUGACCUCUAAAUCAGUUAAUGUAAGCAUUCUUUUCUUAAGAUAGAAAUUGAACAGACCUUACUUUUAGUGCCUUUUGGAAUGUAUUGCCACAUACAACAAGAAUGAAAAUCAACAUCAGCUUUAAUUAGAAGCUUUUGCUAAGCAUUAAGCAGCCAUUUUUAAUUAAUAAUUCUACGGUCCACAUGCUUUACAGACGUUAAUACAUUAUAAAAUAGCACUUCAAGAAAACUAAACAAAGGAAGUAGAAUUUUGUUAUUUUACUCUUUUUUUGGGUUAUAAUAAAAUGCAGUUGCUCAUGUGCAUACUCAUGAUUGCAUUGUACUUGUCUUCUACCCUUACAAUAUACAGUCAUGGGGAAAAGAAAAUGUACCCUCCUUCAAUGUUUUUAUUUAUCAGGGCCUCAAUAACAAUUGU